rnacentral:rRNA from 1 species
UCCUACGGGAGGCAGCAGUGGGGAAUAUUGCACAAUGGGGGGAACCCUGAUGCAGCCAUGCCGCGUGAAUGAAGAAGGCCUUCGGGUUGUAAAGUUCUUUCGGUGAUGAGGAAGGUGUUUUGUUUAAUAGACAAGGCAAUUGACGUUAGUCACAGAAGAAGCACCGGCUAACUCCGUGCCAGCAGCCGCGGUAAUACGGAGGGUGCGAGCGUUAAUCGGAAUAACUGGGCGUAAAGGGCACGCAGGCGGAUUGUUAAGUGAGAUGUGAAAGCCCCGAGCUUAACUUGGGAAUUGCAUUUCAGACUGGCAGUCUAGAGUAUUUUAGGGAGGGGUAGAAUUCCACGUGUAGCGGUGAAAUGCGUAGAGAUGUGGAGGAAUACCGAAGGCGAAGGCAGCCCCUUGGGAAUAUACUGACGCUCAUGUGCGAAAGCGUGGGGAGCAAACAGGAUUAGAUACCCUGGUAGUCC